rnacentral:rRNA from 1 species
ACACAUGCAAGUCGAGGGGUAGAAGAAGCUUGCUUUUUUGAGACCGGCGCACGGGUGAGUAACGCGUAUGCAACCUACCUUAUACAGGGGAAUAGCCCGAAGAAAUUCGGAUUAAUGCUCCAUGGUUUAUCGAUAUGGCAUCGUAUUGAUAAUAAAGAUUUAUCGGUAUAAGAUGGGCAUGCGUAUCAUUAGCUAGUUGGUGUGGUAACGGCAUACCAAGGCAACGAUGAUUAGGGGUCCUGAGAGGGAGAUCCCCCACACUGGUACUGAGACACGGACCAGACUCCUACGGGAGGCAGCAGUGAGGAAUAUUGGUCAAUGGAGGCAACUCUGAACCAGCCAUGCCGCGUGCAGGAUGACGGUCCUAUGGAUUGUAAACUGCUUUUGUACAGGAAGAAACCUCCCUACGAGUAGGGACUUGACGGUACUGUAAGAAUAAGGAUCGGCUAACUCCGUGCCAGCAGCCGCGGUAAUACGGAGGAUCCGAGCGUUAUCCGGAAUUAUUGGGUUUAAAGGGUUCGUAGGCGGCUUUGUAAGUCAGUGGUGAAAUUUCCUAGCUUAACUAGGACACUGCCAUUGAUACUGCAGAGCUUGAAUAAUAUGGAAGUAACUAGAAUAUGUAGUGUAGCGGUGAAAUGCUUAGAUAUUACAUGGAAUACCAAUUGCGAAGGCAGGUUACUACGUAUUUAUUGACGCUGAUGAACGAAAGCGUGGGGAGCGAACAGGAUUAGAUACCCUGGUAGUCCACGCCGUAAACGAUGGAUACUAGCUGUUCGGUUUUCGGACUGAGUGGCUAAGCGAAAGUGAUAAGUAUC